AGAGAUACAGCUCAGUAACAGAGCAUCUGUUUUGCACGCAGAAGGUCCCAAGUUCGAUUCCCUGGCAUCUCCC